GAUGAACGCUGGCGGCGUGCCUAAUACAUGCAAGUCGAGCGAAUGGAUAAAGAGCUUGCUCUUAUGAAGUUAGCGGCGGACGGGUGAGUAACACGUGGGUAACCUGCCCAUAAGACUGGGAUAACUCCGGGAAACCGGGGCUAAUACCGGAUAACAUUUUGAACCGCAUGGUUCGAAAUUGAAAGGCGGCUUCGGCUGUCACUUAUGGAUGUACCCGCGUCGCAUUAGCUAGUUGGGGAGGUAACGGCUCACCAAGGCAACGAUGCGUAGCCGACCUGAGAGGGUGAUCGGCCACACUGGGACUGAGACACGGCCCAGACUCCUACGGGAGGCAGCAGUAGGGAAUCUUCCGCAAUGGACGAAAGUCUGACGGAGCAACGCCGCGUGAGUGAUGAAGGCUUUCGGGUCGUAAAACUCUGUUGUUAGGGAAGAACAAGUGCUAGUUGAAUAAGCUGGCACCUUGACGGUACCUAACCAGAAAGCCACGGCUAACUACGUGCCAGCCGCCGCCGUAA
rnacentral:rRNA from 1 species